AGGGAAGCAAACCCGGUGAACUGAAACAUCUAAGUAGCCGGAGGAGGAGAAAACAAAAGUGAUUCCGUAAGUAGCGGCGAGCGAACGCGGAUUAGCCCAAACCGAUGUUGUUUCGGCAAUAUCGGGGUUGUAGGACCACGUGAUCUGAUGCGUAAUAGAACUGGAACCGUCUGGAAAGUCGGACCGUAGAGGGUGAGAGUCCCGUACGGGUAAAGUGCGUUAUCAGUAGUGGUAUCCUGAGUAGUGCGGGGCACGUGAAACCCUGUAUGAAUUUGGCGGGACCAUCCGCUAAGGCUAAAUACUCCUGAGAGACCGAUAGUGAACCAGUACCGUGAGGGAAAGGUGAAAAGAACCCUGAACAAGGGAGUGAAAAAGAUCCUGAA
rnacentral:rRNA from 14 species